UGCAGUAUAACACUUUAUAUAAAAUAAAUUUCCUUUUGUUAUUCUUUUGUAGGUAGUGAAUAUCUUGUAUAAUUCCUCCAUAGCUGUUAGCUCUUCUCCGUCUUGGGUAUAUAUGGUAUUUAGUAGUCCAUAGUCAAAACAGGUUUUAACUAGGCUUGGGUUAGUUUUGGGUAGUGCGAUUAAUUUAUUGUAUCCUUGUAGUUUUUGGGUUAUAUAAUUGGUAUUUGGUUCUUUGAUGUCUGUAGCUCUGGGGUUAUGGUUUAGAAAGGUUUGUACUCUGUAUAUAUUUUCUAUGUAUUUCUGGGCGGUGUAGUUGUAUACUUUUUUGUCUUGGUUUAGGCUAUCUCGAUAUGUGUUAACUUGUGGGGGUAUGAAUAAAUGGUCUUUUUGUGUUUUUGUUGUAAAUGGUUUUUCAAAUAUUUUAUUCAUAUUCAUAUUUUGGUAUCUUGGUCGAUUAACUCCUUUGCUUGUACCUGCAGAAUUAGAUUGAUAAACGUUAUGGGUUUUAUGGAGUGUCCCGUCGUCUCCUUCUAGCUCUGGAACUUUAAUGUCUUUCGAUCGACAUAGCUCUGCACAUUGCUGAGUUAGCUGAUUUGUAGCUAUAGACUUCAGUUUAUCUUCAUUAGUCUUUAGCUUUUCUAUCUCAUUACCCAUACUGUCCACUUUCAUUGAAAGCGUAGUUAGGGUGUUAAGUAUUUUUUCUAGAGUAUCUUCUUCUAUUAUUUCAGUCUGUGUAGCUUUGUCUUGAUAUGUAAUCUGCAAUAACAUUUUUGUUAGUACUGAUCACUUCAAUUGUAAAUGUGAAAUUUAAUAUAUUCAAAACUAGUCUCCGAAUCUCUUUUGUUGUGACUGAAUUUUGUAUUUUCUUUGUUAACCACCAGCGUACCUGUGUAUUAUCUGUUCGUACAAUAAAUUUGUUAUAUACAAUAUAAAGAAAGUACCCACACAGAAAUAAAUACUCUUGAUAAAAAAGAAGAUGAAAAUAUAAUACCUAAAACAACAGAAAUAAGAAAACCAUCCUAUUAGUGUUCUUUCUAUAUAUUUUGGUGCAUCUGUUAUAUUUAUAUUAGUAUCUAAUAAUUGUUUUGUCAUAUAUCCUAUCCAUAAUUGUAUUGUUUUUUCUGUAUCUAUUACACAAUCUAGGUCUGGUUUUUACUAGGCUUGGGUUAGUUUUGGGUAGUGCAAUCAGUUUGUUAUAUCCUUGUAAUUUUUGGGUUAUAUAGUUGGUGUUUGGUUCUUUGUUGUUUGUAGCUCUGGGGUUAUGGUUUAGAAAAGUUUGUACUCUGUAUAUAUUUUCUAUGUAUUUCUGGGCGGUGUAGUUGUAAACUUUUUAAUCUUGGUUUAGGCUAUCUCGGUAUGUGCUAACUUGUGGGGGUAUGAACAAGUGGUCUUUUUGUGUUUUUGGUGUAAAUGGUUUUUCAAAUAUUUUAUUCAUAUUCAUAUUCUAGUAUCUUAGUCGAUUAACUCCUUUGCUUGUACCUGCAGAAGUAGAUUGAUAAAUGUUAUGGGUUUUAUGGAGUGUCCCUCUAAUAAAAUACCUUUAAGUCUUAGUAAUUUUAAUAAUAUUAUGUAAAAAGUUAAAAUUAUAGAAUUGCUAAAAAAUAAAAAGAUACUUUUUUUUUCAGACGAACUAAAAGGAAAAGUGAUACGAAUAAAUUGAAAUGAAAGAAAUAGUACGUAUCAUCAAAUAAGUGAUUUGAAAGUGUAGAAAUGCUUAUGACUAACUCUUAUACAACAGUCACAACAUUCUCUUUUUAAGAUAAAAAUUCAAAAGAUCCGCCCUUUUGAAGGUAUAUCAACACAUUGGUCCUUCUCGAUAAAAAAUAAGGUUGUUUAUGCAUACUAGUUUAUCAUUAUAUUCUUUUAAUUAAAGAAUCAUAGUCAACUAUUCCUUCUUUGAGUUAGGAAGAUUGGUAAGGAGAUAAAUUGUUUCCUAUCAAUAAGUUUUUUAAAACAAAAUUAUUUUAAGGCUGAAAUUAAGACUAUUCAAUUAAAGAUAAAGAAAUCUCAAUUAUACUUUAAUAGUGCCUAUCAUUAGGCAAAGGAAUAUACUUCUAAGGCCUAACCAGUUUGUCAAUUGAAUGUACUAUUGCUUUUUUCUAAAAAAAAAAAAAAAAAAAAAAGUCUCGGUCUUAAUUUAUAUAACAUAGUUUAAAUUUUUUAGAGUCCAACAAUUUAAUUUAAUUGUGAAUUUGUAUACAUGGAAUCUUCAAAUAUUUUGAAAUAAAAUUUGUAUAUUUAAAAACUAUGUAAAAAGUACUUUCACUACUAAAAAGUCUUCUUUUAGUCAUGUGAUUUUGGGAGGGACGUCCCUCACUAAUCAAGAUUUUGUGAGGGCAGCCAUCGCUAUAAGAUGUUUUGCUAAUUUGAGCCUUUCUAAUUAUUAGUGAGGGAGACCCUCGCAAAGUAGUGAAGGACUCUGACAUUCAUUCAUCGCUAUUUUGGUGUCACAAUUUUCCAUAAAAAUAUGAUGUAGUGAGAGAUGUUCCUUGAUAUAUUAAAAAUUUAUAUAAUAUUAAUUUAUAAUUUAGUGAGGGACAACCCUUGGUACGUGAAAAUUAAUAAAACUAUAAAUUUAAAUAUACUGAGUGAUAUCCCUCACAAUGUUAAAAAAAAAUUAAUUUGAUAUUUGGAUAUUUUGAGGGAUAUCCCUCUCAAAGUCUCUUGCUAAUCUGAUAGUAUUUUAGUUUUUUUACUGCACCAAAACUCAAUAAUUUAAUAGAAAACCAACAUACAACAAACAAAACAAUAAGAAAAAUACUUCCAAAACAAUUUAAACAUUGAAAUUACGCAACCAAACGUCAUACAUAUUCAUCCAACUUAAAUAAUAUGCAAACCAAGUAUCAAAAAAGUACGAAAAUUAUCACCAAAAUAAUUUUUUUUAAACACUCCGAAAUAAUAAAAUUUAAGACUAAAAUAAUAGCACCACCUAACACUCCAUUUCAUCCUCCUUAUCCUCUCCACCAUCAUCAUCAGAGCUAGGGGCAGAGAACGAGGAAACUUGAUUAAUGUAUUCACUUAGGCCUUGAAUUUUUGAUCGUCUGACUAAAGUGUCAUCCUGUAUCACUCCUCCUUCAUCCUUCUCUUUCGUUACUCCUUGUAUUUCCUAGCAAACUCCUAAACUUCCUGUCGUAUCUCUUCAAGAUGCUCAUCUAACAAGGUUGCAAAACUUCUUAUACCUUGCAAUCCACACCGGAGGCGGUGAAAGUUCUUCUUAAAGCAAAAGUCGUAUGCCCUUCUCUCAUACACGCCUCCAACUAUAUCUAGCCAGCAGGAAAGAGUUUCUUCUUCUGAUGGCAUAAUUGAAUUGCAUUAAUCAUCUAUUGGUCGACUCAUUUUGAGCUCUUCGAUUGCUUAAACAUAUCGAUUCUACAUUAAAAGUAAAAUUAGUAUAUAAUAAAUCGUAUAUAAUAAAUUCUAAGUAAGAUUUGCACAAUCUAGGUAUGCAUCAUCUCAUAAACAAUCUAGAUAAAAAAAAAUACAGUAACAUAACUAGUGUAUCCCCACAUAAUGGGGUCUAGGAGGAUAAAGUGUACGCAGACCAUACCACUACCUCAGAUGAAGUAGAGAAUCUAUUUUUGAUAGACCCCGGGCUCAAGACAGGUAACAUUAUAACAAACACAAAACAUAAAAGCAUAUAAGAUAGUACAAUGCGCAAAAUAAACUAACACUGCUAGCUACUACAGGAAACAAUACAGCCAUAAGAUAAAACUAUACACUAUUUAUCUGAAAAUUAUAAUCAUCACUCAAGCACUCUGAAUAGGGAACUCCAGAUGCAAAUAAAGUACUCUUCCCUAUUGUAUUUUUACAGAUGCACUCCUACCCCUUAACGCUCUACCCUAAUCUGCGUCCUUCACAUCUUUCUAUCAAGGGUCAUGUCCUUCGUAUGCUGUAACUGCUCCAUAUCAUGCCAAAUCACCUUCCUCUAAUUUUUUGUGGCCUGCCUCUACCCUGGCUAAAAUUAUCCAUAGUCAUCCUCUCACUCCUCCAUACUAGAGCAUGUGUGUCCCUCUUUAUCAUGUGCUCUGUAACACCCCAAAGUUUUUCUUAGCUAAAUUUUGUCCCUAAAAUAUCAAGCAUUGACUUGUAGAAUGAUUUAUACUUAUUUCCCUGUGGAAGAUGCGAGUUCAAGCAACUCUUAGCCUAAAACCGUAUUUGCCAAUAUAGGUAGAUUAUUAUUGUACGCUGGCGACGGCCGUAUGGCAUAGUAGAUUUAGAGACUCUGACCCUUGCGGCACACUUGGGUUGGGAGCUUCGUUGUCAAGUCAAUAGCAGUUUUCAUAUAGCCUAUGGAAUUUUUCAGAGUUGUAGGGUAUACCACCUAGUGUAGAAGUACUAAGAGUUGAGAUGAUCUUUACAGAGUCUUUAAAAUGACCAUGUGAAUUCUUACUAUAUGAUAUACUUAAGAACUGUUUUAAAUUGCUCUUAUAUAUGUUGAAUAAUAAAUGAUUAUUAUUACUAUGCUCUACGUACCAGUACAUCUAUAUUGACCCCUCCUCCACCCUACCUCUCAGGUUUUGAGACUCAGUUUAGGGGUCCAGAUAAGCAGUAGAUAAUUUAGACAGUUUAUCAGAUUGUGCAGUGGUGAGCCUUCUCUAUUCUAGAAGGACUGUCUUUUUAGAUUAUGUCACUUAUUUUAGUUUUGGUCUACUGGGGGCCUUGUCCCAGUUUCAAAAAGUUGUCAGAUUUUUAUAUAGUAGAGAUUUCACAGACUGAGUCAAAUGUUAUUUAGAUGUAGUUGAUUUACAGUUUCCAUACUUAUGAUGAAUUCAAAGUUGACCAUGUUUCUAUAAAAGAUUAUGUUUUCGUAUCUUCUUUUAUUAUAUGAAUAUUGUGUAUAAUUACCAGAUAGAGAAAGGCGUUCCGGGCCUUCAUGGUUCAGGAUGUCCGUCACAGCCAAGCCCUAGUUCAGGUCGUGACAAACUUGGUAUCAAAGCAUGGUUCAUGGUCCUAGGGUGUCUGCAAAAUCACAUCGGGUAGAGUCUUAUUUAUGGGUGUGUAGCGCGCCACACUUAUAAGCAGGAGGAUACUAGGAGUUUAAGAAUAUUUCUCUUCUUUGUGAUUUAGUUCAUGCUUCAGAGUCUAAUUUAUCCCCUAAUCAAUGACCUCUUGCUUUUCAGAAAACCAGCAUGCCUUCCCAUCGCACCAACGUUAAUGGUCAGGAUGAUGAAGUUUGUCCCACCCAUACAAUGCGGACCUGUAAUAGAAAUUAUACCCCAAAACCCAUUCCUACUUUGGGAGUACCUUCUAUACAGACCAGUCCUUCUAGAGCUCCCCGAACGGCGGAUAACUCCCCGAACGGGGGCCAAUCACACUCAGCCUCGUGAAGGAGAGGUUUCUAAUGCUAAAUUCAGACAGUUUAUUCACAUGCUUGCACAGCUGGUAGCCAAACAGACUCAGAGGUUAAAGGAUACUGGGUCUGCGUCUGUUACUUCUGAAGUUACUAGAGUGGGCCAGUUCAUGAGAAUGAACCCGCCCAAGUUCUUUGGCGCUAAGGUAGAAGAGGACCUACAGGAGUUCGUAGAUAAAAUAGAGAAGAUUUUCAAAGUUAUGAAUAUUGAUCAGGUGGAGGGUGUUGAGCUAGCAGCAUACCAGCUAAAGGAUGUAGCAAAUUAAUAGUACAAUGAGGGGGAAGAUGCGAAGGGUGAUAGUAUUGAGCCCACAGUUUUGGACAUGUUCGUGGAAGCUUUUCUUAACUGAUUCUUUCCUCUAGUGCUGAGGGAGGCAAAAGUAGAGGAGUUCAUGAAACUUGAGCAAGGUAAGAUGAGUGUUCAGGAGUAUACUUUAAAGUUUAAUCAGCUGGACCAUUAAGCUCUAAAGAUGACGAGUAGUAUGAGGGCCCAAAUAAGGAAAUUUUCUUCUGGCCUUUUAGAUGAUCUGGUGCUUGAGUGUCAGGGAGCUAUGCUGAACAUGGAUAUGGAAUUUGCUAGAAUGUCAAUCCACAUGCAGUAAGUUGAGGAGGCGAAAAAGAAGAUAGCUGAAUUUAGGAAAAAGGACAGGCAGGCAAAGAGAGCCGGAGCAAUAGACCAGAGUCAUAGUCAGCAGUAGAGCGGUAAUUGGGGUGGCAAAUGGCAAAAUAAAAAGAAUUAGGGUAAUACACAGUCGGCAUCUAGUGCUCUAGUGUCUAGACCCAUAGCUGAACAGUGCACCUAGAAUUUUCAGUUUAGUCAGCGGCCGAGGAUACAAGGUACUCAAUCGCAGGGAAGUGUAGUCUAGACCUCUCGGUCCUAUCCACGCUGUGGGAGAUGUGGGAGGAAUCAUCCAGGGAGAUGUCAGUUUCACGCUUUGGUGUGUUAUUCAUGCGGCAGCCAGGCCAUAUGCAGAGAGACUGUCCGACAGGAAAUAGUAAUGUUGGAGGAGCCAAGUCGCAGGUGAAUUCAUUUGUACCACCACCUCAGAAAGGUGCCACUUCAGCCGUUGAAAAUGGUUAAAACUGGUUGUAUGCUUUGACCAACCGCUAGGAGGUAAAGGCCUUACCAGAUGUAGUCAUCGGUACAUUGUAAAUCUUUUCUCAUGAUGUGUAUGUAUUACUUGAUCCCGGGUCUAGCUUGUCUUAUGUGACCCCAUACGUGGCUAUUGGUUUUGGGUUUGAGCUUGAUGUAAUUGCUGAACCUUUUUCAGUUUCCACCCCGGUGGGAGAUUUUAUUAUGGCUAGGAGGGUGUAUGGAAAUUGUGUUGUGUCUAUUUUCAAUUGGGAUACUCCGGCAGAUCUCAUAGAACUUGAUAUGGUUUAUUUUGAUGCCAUCUUAGGGAUGGACUGGCUCUAUUCGUGCUAUUCUACCUUGAAUUGUAGGAUCUAAAGAGUCACCUUUAUUUUUUGAAUGAGUCUGUGAUAGAAUGGGAGGGACAUUCUCUAGCACUUAGAGGGCACUUCAUAUCUUAUCUCGGGGCCUGUAAACUUAUUUCCAAAGAUUGCUUGUAUCAUCUUAUUCGGGUUAAAGAUUCUAGUGCUGAAAGUUUUCCUCUUCAGUCUAUCACCGUAGUGAAUUCAUUCUCGGAAGACUUUUCAAAUGAUCUCCCAGGAAUACCACCUGAUAUGGAGAUAGAUUUUGGUAUUGAUUUAUUGCCAGAUACCUGUCCUAAUUCUAUUCCGUCAUAUAGGAUGGCUCUUGUAAAGCUAAAAAAGUUGAAAGAACAGCUAGCAGAUCUUCUAGAUAAAGGUUUUAUCAACCCUAGUAUGUCUCCCUAGGGUGCACCAGUACUUUUCGUACGAAAGAAAGAUGGUUCCCUUCGUAUGUGCAUAGAUUACCGCCAGUUGAAUAAGGUCACGAUUAAAAAUAAUUAUCCCCUUCCUAGGAUUGAUGAUUUUUUUUAUCAACUUCAGGGUGCUAAAUAUUUUUCAAAGAUAGACCUUCAUUCGGGAUAUCACCAGUUGAAAUUUAGAGAGUCAGAUAUUCCCAAAAAAAUUUUUUGUACCAGAUACGACCAUUAUGAAUUCUUAGUCAUGUCCUUUGGGUUGACUAAUGCCCCUGUAGCUUUCAUGGAUCUAAUGAAUAGGGUUUUCCAUCAAUUUCUGGAUCUUUUUGUCAUUGUAUUCCUUGAUGACAUUUUGGUAUAUUCUAAGAGCGAGGAGGACCAUGCCAAUCACCUCUGAAUCAUCCUUCAAACCCUUAAAGAUCAUAAGUUGUAUGCAAAAUUUUCCGGGUGUGAAUUCUGGUUGAAUGCUAGCGUUCUUGGGGCAUAUUAUGUCUAGUGAUGGGAUUAAGGUUGAUCCCCAAAAGAUUGAGGCAGUGAGAAAAUGGUCCAGACCCACGACUCCAACCAACAUUCGGAGCUUUUUAGGUUUGGCAGGUUAUUACAGAAGAUUCAUCGAGAGUUUUUCUUCUAUAGCUGCACCACUUACUAAGUUGACUCAGAAAAAGGUAAAGUUUUUGUGAUUUGACUCUUAUGAGAAUAGUUUUGAGAAGUUGAAAGACAAGUUGACUACUGCUCCUGUUCUGACUCUUUCGGAGGGUACAAAAGGUUUUGUUUUAUACUGUGAUGCAUCCCGAGUAGGACUUGGUUGUGUUUUUAUGUAGCACAGUAAGGUAGUGGCUUAUGCAUCUAGGCAGUUUGAGGUGCAUGAGCGAAACUACCCUACUUAUGACUUGGAGUUAGCAGCUGUGGUUUUUGCACUUAAGAUCUGACAACACUAUUUGUAUGGGGUACACGUUGAUAUAUUUACUGACCACAAGAGUUUACAGUACGUUUUCUUGCAAAAAGAAUUGAAUCUCAGGCAGAGGUGGUGGUUGGAACUUUUAAAACACUAUGACAUGAGCCUGCACUAUCAUUCAAGCAAGGAGAAUAUGGUAGCCGAUGCCCUCAGUAGGUUAUAUACGGGUAGUCUUUCUUAUGUGGGGAAAGAAAAGAGGGAGAUGGCGAAGUAUAUUCACCGACUUGCAAAUCUAGGAAUGGGAAUUUUGGUUUCCGAGAAUGGAGGAGUGGCUGUUCAUGAGAUAGCUAAAUCUUUCCUUUGUGCAGAAGUCAAAGAGAAGCAGGUUGAAGAUCUAAUCUUGAUACAGAUCAAGAAAGAUAUGGGUCAAUAAAGGUAUUGUCUUUUGAAAUUGGUGGUGAUGGUGUUUUGAGAUACCAGGGUAGGUUAUGUGUGACAGAUGUAGAUGGCCUAAGGAAGAGAAUCCUUGACGAAGCUCACACGUUGAGGUAUGUUAUUCACCCUAACUCUACUAAGAUGUAUCAGGAUUUGAAAACCAUUUAUUGAUGGAAUAAUAUGAAGUAUGAUGUCGUUAACUAUGUUGCCAAGUGUUUGAAUUGUCAACAAGUUAAAGUGGAACAUUUGAGGCCAGGUGGUUCUUCUCAAGAGAUAGCUUUGCCUUUUUUGAAGUGGGAGAUGAUUAAUAUGGACUUCAUUACAGGACUUUCGAGGUCCCAAAACCAGUAUGAUUCCAUUUGGGUAAUUGUAGAUAAGUUGACCAAGUCAGCUCACUUUCAACCUGUCAGGACAAAUUAUUCGGGGGAGGAUUAUGACAAGCUGUUCAUUGCAGAAAUAGUUCGUUUGCAUGGGGCACUUGUGUCCAUCAUAUCUGAUAGAGGUACACAAUUUUCUUCACAGUUUUGGAGAUCGUUUCAAAAGGGUUUAGGUACCCAAGUGAAUUUGAGCACGGCUUUUCACCCUCAGACAAAUGGGCAAGCUGAGCGCACCAUCCAGACCCUUAAGGAUAUGUUGAGGGCCUGCGUGAUUGAUUUUAAAGGUAGUUGGGUAGAGUACUUUCCAUUGAUAGAGUUCACAUAUAAUAAUAGUUUCCAUUCCAAUAUUAAGAUGGCACCUUUUGAGGCAUUGUAUGGGAGAAGAUGUAGGUCCCCGAUAGGAUGGUAUGAAGUAUGUGACACACAGAUAUAUGGGCCUAAUUUUGUUGAUCAGGCAAUAGAGGAUGUGAAAGUCAUUAGAGAAUGACUUAAGAUAGCUCAGAGUCAUCAGAAGUUCUACGCCGAUGUUAGGAGAAUAAAUCUAGAGUUUUAGGUUGGAGAUUGGGUGUUUCUUAAGGUUUCUCCCAUAAAGGGAGUCAUGCGAUUCGGGAAGAAAGGUAAAAUAAGUCCUCACUAUAUAGGACCAUAUCAGAUUGUGAGAAGGAUAGGUGGAGUUGUGUAUGAGUUAGAAUUUCCAGCUAGUUUGGGUUCUAUUCAUCUGGUAUUCCAUAUAUCUAUGUUGAAGAAGUGUAUUGGAGACCAUUCUUUAGUAUUGCCUGUUGAAGAAAUCAAAGUGACAAACUCCUUAUCCUAUGAAGAAGAGCCUGUAGAGAUUUUGGAUUGCCAAGUUAGAAAAUUAAGGAAUAAAGAGAUAGCCUCAGUUAAAGUGUUGUGGAGAAACUAGAAAAUUGAAGAAGCGACUUGGGAAUCAGAAGUUGACAUGAUAGCUAGAUAACCAAACCUUUUUGAUCCAAUGGAUGACAAAAUUAAAGGUAAAAUCCUUGCCUUAUUCUUUUUAUGCCUUAGUAUGCUUGAUAUUAUGCUUGUUUGUAUUCCGCGUCAUCAUUCAGGGACGAAUGUUGCAAAGGGGGGAUAUUGUAACGCCUUAAAGUUUUUCUUAGCUAAAUUUUGUUCCUAAAAUAUCAAGAAUUGUCUUCUAGAAUGAUUUAUACUUAUUUCCCUAUGGAAUCCCUUAGAUUUCAACUUUUCAUUUCGUAGAUGAUUGAAUAAGUUUUCCAUUGACAUAAGAUGCAUCCAAAACGGACACUCAGUGAAAGAGUUAUGGUUAAUUUAAGUCCUAGUCAUAAAACAACGUCAUUCUUGUCCUUGUCGCGUCGUAGAGAGGGUGUAAAUGAU
rnacentral:lncRNA from 1 species